rnacentral:rRNA from 1 species
UACGUAGGGGGCAAGCGUUGUCCGGAAUCAUUGGGCGUAAAGCGCGUGUAGGCGGUCCGAUCAGUCGGCUGUGAAAGUCCAGGGCUCAACCCUGGGAUGCCGGUCGAUACUGUCGGACUAGAGUCCGGAAGAGGCGAGUGGAAUUCCCGGUGUAGCGGUGAAAUGCGCAGAUAUCGGGAGGAACACCAAUGGCGAAGGCAGCUCGCUGGGACGGUACUGACGCUGAGACGCGAAAGCGUGGGGAGCAAACGGG